AUUGAACGCUGGCGGCAUGCUUUACACAUGCAAGUCGGACGGCAGCACAGAGAAGCUUGCUUCUUGGGUGGCGAGUGGCGAACGGGUGAGUAAUAUAUCGGAACGUACCGAGUAAUGGGGGAUAACUAAUCGAAAGAUUAGCUAAUACCGCAUAUUCUCUGAGGAGGAAAGCAGGGGACCUUCGGGCCUUGCGUUAUUCGAGCGGCCGAUAUCUGAUUAGCUAGUUGGUGGGGUAAAGGCCUACCAAGGCGACGAUCAGUAGCGGGUCUGAGAGGAUGAUCCGCCACACUGGAACUGAGACACGGCCCAGACUCCUACGGGAGGCAGCAGUGGGGAAUUUUGGACAAUGGGCGCAAGCCUGAUCCAGCCAUGCCGCGUGUCUGAAGAAGGCCUUCGGGUUGUAAAGGACUUUUGUCAGGGAAGAAAAGGCUGUUGCUAAUACCGACAGCUGAUGACGGUACCUGAAGAAUAAGCACCGGCUAACUACGUG
rnacentral:rRNA from 1 species